GUACCCCAUAUCCCCCUAGAGGAGCCUGUCCUAUAAUCGAUAAUCCACGUUUAACCUCACCACUUCUAGUUAAUCAGCCUGUAUACCUCCGUCGUCAGCUUACCACGUGAGCGAAAACUAGUGAGCCUAAUGUCAUUUCACCAACACGUCAGGUCAAGGUGCAGCAAAUGAAGUGGGAAGAGAUGGGCUACACUUUCUAUUUUAGAAAAAACGAAAAACUACUUAUGAAACCUAGUUAGAAGGCGGAUUUAGCAGUAAAAAGGAAUCAGCAUGUCCAUUUUAACCCGGCACUGGGGUGUGU
rnacentral:rRNA from 1 species